GUAAAGAAGGUGAAUAUGACUCUUCAUGAAGCUCUAAGAACAAACUUUUUGGAUACUAUUUCAAAGUAUGAAGUCAUAUUCUUAAAAACAUAAAAAAUGAAAAAUAAUUGGAUACUUUUCAGAUCUUUUACUGGAAGUAUCUCAAAAGUAUCUUAAAAUGGUUAAAUAGAAAACAUAAGAUACAUUUUGCACAUGUAUUUAGAAGUAUUUGAAUAGGAAUGGUAUCUGACAUGAGUAUGAUUAGGGAGAGUACAAAAACAUGACUAGAAGGAGUAUUCCACUUUCAGGAAAUAUAGCAUGAAAAACUCCUUCAUGACACAAAUUUGUAACUAAACAAGAAUCAAAAAGAGAUUAACCUUGUGCUUACUUCUCCCAAUCUUUUGCCAAAUUCAGCAGCACAACAGACUGAUUUUCCUGUAAGAAAAGUAAGAAGAAAUACAUGUAACACUCAUCGAUGUGGAUAGAGAUUAUACAGAAAACAUACACAAUAUUCUUCCGAUUUAUGAUAAGUAUUGAAUACUAAUAAUGCAACAAGCUAGUGAUAGCUAUGAAAGAACUAUACUCUUCUAUUACUUUCCAUAAGGGCUAGCGAUGGUCCACUGCAUUCCAGUGCUUGCAAGCAAAGAAUCUCAAGGACAACGAUUGUUAUACUUACGCCACAAUCAGCAAAAAAAUUUGAGGAGCAUAACUUGGAUUUGUGUAACUCACAUAUUGAAAUCACCAAUGUUUUAUAAUCUGACAUUCGAAAUUCAAAUUUCCCAACAAGAGCUUCUCUC
rnacentral:lncRNA from 1 species